GACGAACGCUGGCGGCGUGCCUAAUACAUGCAAGUUGAGCGCUGAAGGUUGGUACUUGUACCAACUGGAUGAGCAGCGAACGGGUGAGUAACGCGUGGGUAAUCUGCCUUUGAGCGGGGGACAACAUUUGGAAACGAAUGCUAAUACCGCAUAAAAACUUUAAACACAAGUUUUAAGUUUGAAAGAUGCAAUUGCAUCACUCAAAGAUGAUCCCGCGUUGUAUUAGCUAGUUGGUGAGGUAAAGGCUCACCAAGGCGAUGAUACAUAGCCGACCUGAGAGGGUGAUCGGCCACAUUGGGACUGAGACACGGCCCAAACUCCUACGGGAGGCAGCAGUAGGGAAUCUUCGGCAAUGGACGAAAGUCUGACCGAGCAACGCCGUGUGAGUGAAGAAGGUUUUCGGAUCGUAAAACUCUGUUGGUAGAGAAGAACGUUGGUGAGAGUGGAAAGCUCAUCAAGUGACGGUAACUACCCAGAAAGGGACGGCUAACUACGUG
rnacentral:rRNA from 1 species